CCUACGGGGGGCAGCAGUGAGGAAUAUUGGUCAAUGGGCGAGAGCCUGAACCAGCCAAGUCGCGUGAGGGAGGACGGCCCUACGGGUUGUAAACCUCUUUUGCCGGGGGCCAAACGGCGGCACGCGUGCCGUCCUGAGGGUACCCGGAGAAAAAGCAUCGGCUAACUCCGUGCCAGCAGCCGCGGUAAUACGGAGGAUGCGAGCGUUAUCCGGAUUUAUGGGGUUUAAAGGGUGCGUAGGCGGGAUGCCAAGUCAGCGGUCAAAUACGGGGGCUCAACCUGCGUCCGCCGUUGAAACUGGCGUUCUUGAGUGGGCGAGAAGUACGCGGAAUGCGUGGUGUAGCGGUGAAAUGCAUAGAUAUUAGGAGGAACACCAGUGGCGAAGGCGGUCUGCUGGACAGCAACUGACGCUGAGGCGCGAAAGCGUGGGGAGCAAACAGGAUUAGAUACCCUUGUAGUC
rnacentral:rRNA from 1 species